rnacentral:rRNA from 1 species
GUUUGAUCCUGGCUCAGGAUGAACGCUGGCGGCGUGCUUAACACAUGCAAGUCGAGCGAAGCACUUAAGUGGAUCUCUUCGGAUUGAAACUUAUUUGACUGAGCGGCGGACGGGUGAGUAACGCGUGGGUAACCUGCCUCAUACAGGGGGGAUAACAGUUAGAAAUGGCUGCUAAUACCGCAUAAGCGCACAGGACCGCAUGGUCUGGUGUGAAAAACUCCGGUGGUAUGAGAUGGACCCGCGUCUGAUUAGCUAGUUGGAGGGGUAACGGCCCACCAAGGCGACGAUCAGUAGCCGGCCUGAGAGGGUGAACGGCCACAUUGGGACUGAGACACGGCCCAGACUCCUACGGGAGGCAGCAGUGGGGAAUAUUGCACAAUGGGGGAAACCCUGAUGCAGCGACGCCGCGUGAAGGAAGAAGUAUCUCGGUAUGUAAACUUCUAUCAGCAGGGAAGANAAUGACGGUACCUGACUAAGAAGCCCCGGCUAACUACGUGCCAGCAGCCGCGGUAAUACGUAGGGGGCAAGCGUUAUCCGGAUUUACUGGGUGUAAAGGGAGCGUAGACGGAAGAGCAAGUCUGAUGUGAAAGGCUGGGGCUUAACCCCAGGACUGCAUUGNAAACUGUUUUUCUAGAGUGCCGGAGAGGUAAGCGGAAUUCCUAGUGUAGCGGUGAAAUGCGUAGAUAUUAGGAGGAACACCAGUGGCGAAGGCGGCUUACUGGNCGGUAACUGACGUUGAGGCUCGAAAGCGUGGGG